rnacentral:lncRNA from 1 species
CCUCUUCUCUCUCUCUCUCUCUCUCUCUCUCUCUUUUUUUUUUUUUCCUUUUCGUAUAAGACUAUCAUAACCUCUUCCUCCAACGAGAGUAGCGACGUGAAGUGUAAUGGGUCGAUCGAACCUUCGUCGGAAGGGUCGGUCGAUCCCCACGAUGGGCCGAUCAUCCGAUCAGCGACCAGCAAAGCUGGUCAAGGGUCGACCUACCCUCGGGCUGGCUGACCUUCAGCCUCCCCCGAGCCGAUCGUUCUUUUGACUCCUUGGAUAGGCUGCCUAGUGAAUCCUCCCCUGGGUCCGAUAGAUCCAUUUUUUAUUCCAAUAACGGGAAUUCUUCAACCGAACUUCAAAUGUUUGUUUCUAAUUCUCCCAAGAGGCAUAUUGGCUCUACUAAGCUUCCCAAUAAAAAUUUAGAAAUUGCGCGGGAUUCGGCCGUUGAGAUUGUCCCUCUCGAGAUUCCAAGAGGUUAUAGCCUUUACAAUUCCCCGCUUAAGUUAAAGAAAUGUCUUGCCAAGUAUGACCGAGUCGAUGACUAUGUCUAUAGAGCCCUAAGUCCCAAAGAGAGGCUCCUCGGAUCUGACUCUCGCGAGAUAGCGGUAUAUAAAGACAUCAUGGAUGGCGGUUUCCGACUACCCAUUCAUCCCUUCUUUAUGUCGAUUUUCAACGAGUUUCACCUUACUCCUAGUCAAAUAAACCCAACGCUUGGAGAAAAGCAUUGUACUUCUUAUAUGUCUGCCUUAGGAGGAGAAUUCCACUUUCCAUAGACCUUUUUAUGUGUGUCUUUGAGAUGCAUGAACUAGUUUAGUGCAAUGUGUUUUGUCUUUUUUAUCACUAGGGUCCCUUUGCUAUUUCCUAGGUUUAGGAAUUCGAAUAGCGGGUGGAAAUCUCGGUUCUUUUUCGCCCGGCCUUCAGUACGUCGGUUUUCUUUCAAUACCAAUUGGCGGCAUCCCCAAAUUUGUCUUUUCAAUAGUCAAGUAAAAGCUUCCUCUACUCUAAAAGUUCAAAUCCAACAGUUGGUUGAUAUACCCCUCUCGCACCUGACUUAGGAUCGAUCCUGAGCAUGAGGAACAUGUUGAUAGUGGGGAUGAGUCGUCGUACUGGUAGGUUGCUUCCACUGGUUUCUAUUAUUUUUUACUUGCACAUAUUUCUUAUUUGUUGUUUUUCAGGACUAAUCAGUUUGGGUAUGUGCAUACAGAUAUGGACUUCGAUCUAGACGAGGUAUUGAAGACCCUGCCAGGAAGUGACGAGGGCCUCGCUCCUAUUGACGGUAAACUCUUGAGCCUCCGUUCCUUGUUUCGUGUUUUCACACUCUUUUGUUUUGCAAGCUUGACGGGUCUUACCUUGCAUGUAUAGGGAUGGAAUUUGACCUAGAGGGACCAUGAAUUCUAUGCCUGAACAAGGGCAUAGAAGUGAUAUUGAGCCACCCCUCGUCCCCUUAAAGAGGAAGAAGAAUGCUGACCAAGGGGGAAGGUCUCAGGUGGCAAAAGAGACUCCCCAGCCCUCAGACGAGCCUAUCAAAGUUGCUUCUGUUCCUAGGCCGGGUUCUUCCAGCCGUAUGCGGGGGGAGCAUGAGGAUUCACUUCCUAAUUUCGGGUUUCCUCCCACCCGAGAUUAUCAUGAGAUGGGGUGCUUAAGUCUUUGGUGACACCCGCUCGGGCCAAGGUGAUUGCAGGACGUAGCGCAGACGACAUCGAGAGGGCUGCGACGGUCUAUCUCCAGAGGGUAUGCUUCUAAUUCCAUUUUUCUUUUACGCCGAGUCUUAUCUUUUUAGCAUGAUUUUACCACACGACUCUCUCAUCGUCUCCUCAUUCUUUAGGUAGUGGCCCUUCAGAUCGGGCUUGCUGAAUCGAGUCGUCGUCGGGGCUUAAACUUGAAGACUCUUGUAGAAGAAAAGAAGAAAGAGACCCAUCAUUACAAGAAAAAAAUAGCUUCCUUGAAGAAAUCUCUAGAGGCGUCGGAAGCUUGAGCCCGCGAGCAGGAGACAGAGAAUGACAAUUUGCGGUCUGGGUUAACUCAUGCUCCAGAGGAGGCGGUUGAGAGGUAUAAGGCCUCUGUCGAGCAUACUAAGGACUUAGAGGCAUCUGGGAAGUAGUACAAGUCAUUGUUUGAUUAUGCCAGGGCCUUGCAUUCGUACGGGGAAGGCGAUGGCGGCAUCUAUCAAACUAACCAAGGAGUGGAUAUCGAUUGAGCACCCUUUUAUUGACCCCUUAGGUGACCUAGAUGGCUGUGCCCUACUCUCCUUCCUCUUACGCUACACAAGGAACUUAUCAAAAUCUGAGGGGUCGAUAGAAGGGUGCUCGAUCGAUAUCCACUCCUUGGUUAGUUUGAUAGAUGCCGCCAUCGCCUUUCCCCUGUACGAAUGCAAGGCCCUGGCAUAAUCAGACGAUGACUUGUACUGCUCCCCAGAUGCCUCUAAGUCCUUAGUAUGCUCGACAGAGGCCUUAUACCUCUCAACCGCCUCCUCCGGAGCACGAGCCAACGCAAACCGCAAAUUGUCAUUCUCUGUCUCCUGCUCGCGCUUCCGACGCCUCGAGAGAUUUCUUCAAGGAAGCUAUUUUUUUCUUGUAAUGAUGGGCCUCUUUCUUCUUUUCUUCUGCAAGAGUCUUCAACUCUAAACCCUGACGAGGACUCGAUUCAACAAGCCCGGUCUGAAGGGCCACCACCUUUAGGAUGAGGAGACGAUGAGAGAAUCGUGUGUUAAAAUCAUGCUAAAAAGAUAAGACUCGGCGUAAAAGAAAAAUGGAAUUAGAAGCAUACCCUCUGGAGAUAGAUCGCCGCAGCCCUCUCGAUGUCGUCUACGCUACGUCCUGCAAUCACCCUGGCUCGAGCGGGUGUCACCAAAGACUUAAGCACCCCCUUCUCAUGAUAACCUCGGGUGGGAGGAAAUUAGGAAGUGAAUUCUCAUGCUCCCCCAGCGUGCGCUGGAAGAACCAGCCUAGGAAUAGGAGCAACCUCGAUAGGCUCGUCUGAGGGCUGGGGAGUCUCUUUUACCACCUGAGACCUUCCUUCUUGGUCAGCAUUCUUCUUCCUCUUUAAGGAGGCGAGGUAGCUCAAUAUCACUUCUAUGCACUUGUUCAGGCAUAGAAUUCAUGGUACCCUCCAGGUCAAAUUUCAUCCCCGUACAUGCAAGGUAAGACCCGUCAGGCCCGCAAAACAAAAGAGUGCGAAAACACGAAACAAGGAAGGGAGGCUUAAGAGUUUACUGUCAAUAGGAGCGAGGCCUUCGUCACUUCCUGGUAGGGUUUUCAAUACCUCGUCUAGAUCGAAGUCCAUAUCUGUAUGCACAUACCCAAACUGAUUAGUCCUAAAAAGCAACAAAUAAGAAAUAUGUGCAAGUAAAAAAUAAUAGAAACCAGCAGAAGCAACCUACCAGUAGGGCGACUCAUCCCCACUAACAACAUGUUUCUCAUGGUCAGAAUCGAUCCUAAAUUAGGUGCUAGAAGGGGUAUAUCAACCAACUGUUGGAUUUGAGCUUUUAGAGUAGAGAAAGCUUUCGAAUUCCUAAACCUAGGAAAUAGUAAACGGACCCUAGUGGUAAAAAAGACAAAAUGCAUUGCAUAGAACUAGUUCAUGCAUCUCGAAGACACUCCUAAAGAGAUCUAUGAAAAGUGUAAUUCUCAUCCUAAGGCAAACAUAUAAGAAGUGCAAUGCUUUUCUCCAAGCGUUGGGGUUUAUUUGAUUAGGAGUAAGAUGAAACUCGUUGAAAAUCGACGCAAAGAAGGGAUGAAUGAGUAGUCAGAAAAUGUCAUCCAUGAUGUCCCUAUACACCGCUAUCUCAUGGGGGUCAGACUUGGGGAGUCUCUCUUUAGGACCGGGGGCUCUAUAGACAUAGUCAUCGACCCGGUCAUACUUGGCAAGACAUUUCUCUAACUUGAGCGGGGAAUUGUAAAGGCUAUAACCUCUUAGAUUCUCGAGAGGGACAAUCUCACCAGCCGCAUCCCACCCAAUUUCUAAGUUUUGAUUGGGAAGUUUGGUAGAGUCAAUAUGCCUCUUGGGAGAAUUAGAAACAAACAUUUGAGGUUCGGUUGAAGAAUUCCAAUUAUCGGAAUCACAAAUGGAUCUAUCAAACGAAGGGGAGGAUUCGUUAGGUAGCCUAUCCAAGGAGUCAGAAGAACGAUCAGCUCGAGGGGCCGAAGGUCGGCCAGCUCGAGGGUCGACUAGCCCACAACCAGUCGCAGUGGGCCAGUCGGCCCAUCGUCUGAGUUGAUCGGCCCUUCUGAUGAAGGUUCGGUCGAAACAUUAUACUCCCCGCUACCACUUUUGUUGGCAGAAGAGGUGAUUAUAAUCUUAUGCAUGAAAAAAAAAAAAGAGGGUAAAUGCAAAAACUCUAAGUAAAAAUCUUGGAAUGAAAGAGGAAAAUAUUACCUUGAGGAGGAGAAAAUCUAGGAUGAGGGGAAAUGAUUUAAAAUAGGAGACAACUUCACUUUUUAUAGUCAAAAGGGAUUCAAAAUUAUUGGGGGCAAAAUUCUCUCCAAGACUAUGUCCAUUGGUUGGGUGCUAAAUAUACAGUGAAACAGCUACCCAAAUUAAAUUGUACUACUCGACCUUCUUAUUCGAACUAGUUUUAUUUAUAAAAAAAAAAUACAAAUAAAGGAAGUUGCUACCCCUCUGUCGAAAAAAUAUCGACAGGGGGUAGGGGCUAAUGAUAUCAAUUAACAUAGGAAACCACCUCCGAUGAUAAGUAAGGUAAAUCACUGCACGCCAAUGCGAAGCUGUCGACCCCUCGGGAAGUUCUACCUCUACACGAGACUACUUACUCCGUCGGGUGCUCUACCUUAACGAGAGGUCGUCGCCUUCCCCGGGGGCGCUCUAUCUCUACGCAUGAACGUCGACCUCCCCUGGGGGCACUCUACCUCUACGUAAGAUCACCGAGCGACCUGAAAUUGCCUAUAGGGCCAUCUUAACACUUAGCCACAAAAUUCCAGAUGAAUUGACGAGGAUACAUGACAGUUACUUCAGACUCAACCUUCUCGCGAGAAGUUAAGAUCCCCCACUCAGAACGUGGGGAUGGUAGGGAGGUCGACGUGGGACACGUGGCACCACUACCACCUGACUUUCAAUGCCUAUAAAUACCCACGAGGGCGACACAGGUAUGGACGAUAGCAUUUUUCCUAGCCAUCUAAAUUUCGUCCUCAUAUUUCCUAAUAUCAUUUACUAAUUAUCAUGCCGGAGUUAAAACACGGGAGAAAGCUCCGCCCUCAUUUUUCAGGUUACACACGUCCAACGGAGUAGCAGGAAUGCCAAACGUCACCAGGUAGACGAGAAGUAUUAUUCCACCAUCAUCUCAAUUUCAAUUUUGCAGUUUUCCCACUUGGAAGGUUUAUUUUUACUUGACAUAUUUCGGCUCCACAGGAAACGAUCGAGUCUGGACAAUUCAAUUGGGCAAGUCUCGUACUGUCACAUCACCCCGAGAAUACAAAACAAAAUUUUACAAUUAUACACUGUAAAUAGAUUAUUUAUAAAUUUCAUGCUUAAAAAGUCGUCUUCGUACAUAAUGCAUCGAGUGAAUGUUUGUUGUGCAGCAUAUCAAUAGGCGGUUUUAUCCUUUAACACAAUAUGAUAGGAUCCAAUCCUUUUUAUCGAGCACAAUUAUAUUGAGAAUUAAAUUAAAAUUUAAGUUAUUAUAAACUAUGGAUACUAUAAUAUGCAUGGAUAAUAAGUCAAUGUUCGAGCCAUAUUUUCUAAAAAUUCAUUUUUAAUUACAUAUUUUCUUAAUAAAAUUAUGUUGAAUAUAAACUCAAUUCUUUUUCUAAUUUUUUAUCAUACAUUUUUUAAAAAAAUCACUAUUACAAAAUAAGACUCAAAUAGGGACUAAAUGAACAAUAAUUGUGGGCCAUGUUAAACUCACUUCCCAAACAAGCUAUAUAUAUAUAUAUAUAUAUAUAUAUAUAUAUAUAUAUAUAUAUAUAUAUAUAUAUAUAUAUAUAUAUAUAUAUAUAUAUAUAUAUACCCAAACAAGAUAUAUAUAUAUAUAUAUAUAUAUAUAUAUAUAUACACACACACAUACUGUUCAACAUGAGGCAGAGCUUUCACACGGAACUGGUUUGUACUGUAGGUAUACUUGUUCCAUUGAAAAUCCCUUUAUCAUUCAUAUAAAAUGAAGGGUGAUGCUGCUUGCAGUGCACAGGCCUCUGUGCAAGCAGAAAUAUUGUAAAAUGAAUUGAUGAGACUACUUUAUUACUUUUAUGAAAGUUGGUUACUGUAGCAGACUCCUUUCCGAAAUUUCUUGUGGUAGCUAAAAAUUUCAUCCACAGAAAUGAAUUUAUUGAGCCUUCAUUGUUGACUUCCACAAACUGGAUAUUGUACUGGCCCAAAAAAAAAACAUAACUGUUCAUUUCAUAAAUGAAAAAAAAGUUCGGCUGAAAAUCCCCUUUAUUUCCCUAUCCCUACUACAAUAAAAGAGUGAAUGUAGCAAGCACUAUUCAUCCAGGACGUAUUUUGUCUUUGCCUAUUUUACCCUUGAAUAUCCCACUUCACUCCUAGAAUGACUACUGAUGGUCUUUCUACGCGUGUGGUACUACUGUUUUGUCUGAUUUGAAUUUUUACGUCCAAAAAAAUAGUUGACGUCAUACUACAUAAUAUUCUUUUUAAGAAAAUGAUGUAAAUUAUAUUGAGAUAAAUUGUCUCGAAAAAAUAAAAAACAUUAAUAAAAUAAUUAUUUUUUUUAAGAAAAAUGACGAGUUAUACGCAUUUUUUAACACGCACGUUUGAUGUAUGUUUAACUAUUCUCGAUAUUCAUUUAAAUCAUUCGAUAUGCCUAUAAUAUAAUUCUCGAAAUGAGUUUCGAGAGAAUAUAGAAGAUUUAUGUAUUCGACUAUCGUACAAUCGUCGAUGAAUUUUUAAAAUUAGCUUGUUAUCGAAAUUCUUAAUUUUUUUAAAUGAUGUCUCUUUUAAGAUUAAAAAAAAUUAAAUUAAAAAAUUUUCUAAAUGACGUCAAAAUUUAUUAUCGCGAAAAAAUAAUAAACAUUAAUAAAAUAAUUGAUUUUUUAAAGAAAAAAGACGAGUUAUACAAUUUUUUAACACAUAUGUUUGAUGUACGUUUAACUAUUUUCAGUAUUCAUUUAGGUCAUUCGAUGUGUCUAUGAAAUGAGUUUCGAGAGAAUACAAAAGAUUUAUGAUAGAUUUUUAUAAAAAAUUAAAUAAAUCACCGACUGAGAAAAAAAGAAAAAAAUUAAUACAAAAAAGAUAUUAAUCACCAAAUUAUUGCUUGCAUUCUUCCAAGCAGAAGCCCUUUGCUUCGGUCUCCAUUGAUCAUUUGACAAAGAAGCAGAGUCAAUAGUUAAAAGAGAAAAAGCCGAUGCCUCUGCUGCUAGCUAAAGAUUGGGGCUAAUCUUUUGAAUGACCAGAAUAUUGGUUCUAUUUUCUACAAUAGUCUUUACUAUUGGAAAUACUAUUUUACCCUUACUUUUAUUAUUUGCAAGAUGUAUCCUUCUGUUUUCGGGAUUCAUUAAUCAGGACUUAUGUUUGAAUUUUUUAAUUUUUCAAAUACCUCUAAAUAUUCUCUGUAUUUUGAUAAUUUUUCAAAAAUUCUAGGCUGAUCUUUUUUAGUUAUAUAUCCUAAAAUUAUUCCUUCUAAAACUCCUUCUUGUAUAUCUUUAUGUUUAGUUAUAAUAUCUUCUACCUUUUUUAUUUCUCUACUAGUUUUUACAGAGUCAAAUCUUGUAUUAUACUCACAAUAAUUAUCUAUAUUUCAAUAUAUUUCUUCAAGUUUUUCUUGGCCAAUAGAAAAUAUAUCUUCAGACUUUUCAGCUAAUUUAAGUAAAAGCAAAAUAUCUUUCUCAUCUAAAUAUGAUCUGGGAUUAUUAUCAUCAUUAGAAGUGGAUGUGGAUACUUGUUUCAUUAAGUUUAAUCAAAGCAUUAGCAUGUAAAAGCGAGUAAAUAACUUACAGUAAUCGAAUAGAAGUAUACAGUCUUUCCCUCCAAUAUGCUCUUACAGAUGUUUUGCAUGUAUUUAAUCAAUCUUCUGAAUCAAGUAAAAGUUUUUUCAUCUGAGUCCACAACUGCUUCCGCAAAAGACUUUUCAAUUAAGGUUACAUUUCUCACUCUAGAGAACUAGCCGUGUUACCACAGACGCUAUCUCACAGUAUUCAGAGUCUCUGUUUUCACCUCUAUUCAGACUCUUUUCAGAAUCAAGUUCUUACUUGGAAUGAAAUUUUAAAAGAUAACUCACAUACAAGGUGCUACGUUUUGUUAGAAAAAAACUGUCUUUUCCCCUAAACCAUUCAUAAAAAACGGGUACUUUGGCAUGGCUAACAUCCAUUCAAAAUCAAUAUUUUUAAAAUCUUUUAAAAUCUCUAUCUGUUCUGCCGAGGAAUCAUGAGAAAUUUAACGAAAUCCUUUUAUGAAAGUUUUGUUGAACAUAACAAACUUUACUUUAAUAUUCAUAAACUGAAAUAGUACAUGCUUACAAUCUAUAUUUACAUACAUUUGGUACUCACCUUAUGAAAUUUAGAACUCUAUAAGUGAUUACCUUAUUACAAGUUUUGCUCUCUUCUGACUAUCUAAUAUUUCUGAAUACAAGUGGUGUAUACAGUUUACAAAAGAUAUAUCUUUGAGAUGUGAUUAUUCAGAGUGUUUUCGAGAUGCCCCUCUUUCUUUCCUCUUGCCUCCUUUUAUAGAAGAUUUUGAGAUCCUUCUCUUGUCAGGUGUCUCCUCCUUCUUUUGUUGGGUAGCUCAGUAAUCUUACCUCCACCGAUUUCUUCAUUAUUUUCUUGCUAGGUGGACCUCCCUUUUAGAAAUUAUCUACCUUAUCUUUGAAUUUGUCUUUCACUUAUGACAACCGGUAGGUGAGUAGUCACAAUUAUGAAGACUUUCUUGUACUAUCUUCUAUCUUUUAAAAGCUACAGUUUUUCUUUAAUAAAUUUCUUUAUUAAAGUAGUGAUAAAAGGCUAUUUUUGUCACUAUCAUUUUUCCAUCUUCGAAUCAAAAAAUUCUGCAGGGAAUUCUUCACUGUUGAGAGAUGCUUGACUCAUAUCUUCCACUACGCAGUAUUCACAAUGAUGGUCACUGUAGUUCCAGAGUAGUUUGCACAGUCCUUUUGUCAUAUCUUCUAAUCCAUGUACUUGGUUUGAGAUAAUUGCGGAUAAUAAUUGGUCAAGAUAACAUAUGUCUUCUUCUUUUGUAGCCAUCCUUGCAUUGGAGUAGAUUAUAUGGUCUUCAGAUGGAUAAAUCUAGAUUUUUUCUUUCUUGGUAAUAAUCUGAGUUACAUGUUCAAAUAUUUCUUUGUACCCUUUUGCUCUUCUGUAGGGCAUCAUAUUUAUAAUAUCUUGGUAUCUAUUUUUAACAACCUUUUGACUGGUUGGUAAAAAAUGUUGGUUUGUAAGUCCCAUUUUAAUAACAUGGAAUGAUGGAUGCAUAUGUUCAAGAACGGGAUCCCAAUCCAUAGUUGCUGAAUGGAAUCUGAUCUAUAUGUUUGUUGUCUUGACUACUUCAAUGUAUCUUUUUACAGCUUUCCUGACGUUGGUUGGAAGUUGGGCUAUUUCUUGAAAUCUUUGCUGGGAUACCACCAGUUGGCUGGUGCUUUUAGAUAGAAGUUUAUCUUGUUGUAUUUUGCAUAGUGGAGAGUUUUCAUCUACUUUCCUAUUUUCAGAUACCAAUCUGAUAAAACAUUAAAAAUAAUAAUAAAGAAUAUGACUUCUUCAUAGUUAUUUUUUCUGGGAAAUUUUGCCGCAUGACAUAUUUUGACAAUAUCUUUUUGAUCUAUUCUUUCAAUAGAAAGUUUAGAUUUAGUUUGGCUCUGUGAAAAGCUCCUCGUUUUUUAUAUUUUGAAUAUCUUCCAUAGUGGGAAUUUUGAUGUCUUCAUUAUCAGUAAUAGGCUUAAGUAUUCCCUGUGAAGGGAUUCCUACUACCUUCUUCUCUUUCCCUUUAUCCUCGAGGAGAGCGCUAGUAUUAACUGGUCCUUGUGAAGGGAUACUAGAUUUGGUACAAGUUACUUCUACCUCAAGGGCUAUAUUUUUGCCUCGAAAGCUAUCUUGGAUACUUUGAAUUUGUGUUUCCAAAUAGGAAACUUUGAUCUCAAGUAUUUGGACUUUCGUCCUUAGUUGUUCUAAUUCCAUCCCUGCUGAGAUAAUCAGGAAGAAAGUUUUACCUUUUAUGUAUUCAAUAUCAAAUUUGAAGUAUGAAAACCAAAUUUGUGUUCUGAUAAUAUAUCUAUUGGCAAUAGAUGGAUCAACAUUAUUUUUCAAAAAAGCUUUGACUUAAGUAUUAUCAGUUCUAAUCAAGAACUUUUUUGGUAAUAAAUAAUCUUCAUAUUUUUUAACUCCCCCUUUUACAGCAAUGAGUUCUUUCCUGUUCGUUUCAUAGCUCGUUUCAACUUCUUUAAAUGUUCCUGAUGUAUAACCUGCAAGUAUCUCAGGACAAGAACAAUUUUUUUCAUAUUUAUAUUCUUUAUGAUUCUUUUUAACCGUUAAUACUGCUCCCCAGUAAUUAUUUGAAACAUCAGUUUUAAGGAUAAAGAAAUAUUCUUCUUGUGGAAUAUUUGUGGUGCAUUUUUCAACCCAAAUAGCAUUACAUUCCAUUCGUAUUGUCUUAAAAGAUUGGGGGUACUAAAUGCAGUUAAUGGUUUACUUUCUUCUGUAAGCAUGAUUGCCAAAACCCUGACUUACAAUCAAAUUUUGAGAAUAUCUUUUUAUUCUAUACUUGCUUAAUAAGGGUAUCCUUAUUUGGCAAUUAAUAUCCAUCAAAUUUGGAAAUUUCAUUUAACUUUUUAUAAUUUAUCACCAUCCUGACUUUUCAUCUUUUUAUCUCGCUAUGUUUUCUAACCAUAAAGGCUGGGCUGCUAUGUGGAUUUUUACAAUGCCUAAUUAAUUUGGCUUCUAAUAGUUCUUUUAUUUGGUUUUUAAAUUCCUUUUGGUCAUCUACACUAUAUUUCAUGGGUUUGACUCUUACUAUAGUGUCUGAAUUGAUUAAUUUUAUUUUUGCCUUUACUUUGUCUGUAUUCCAUUUUUCUAAUGGAUUUUCAGAAUAUGUUUCAGAGAUUUCUUUUUUCAAUUUUUCUAACCUAUUUUCUGUUAUCAUUUUUAGGACUGUAAUUGAUUUAAAUUUUUCUGUACUCCAACAUCUACUACGUUGGGUUGAGGAACUCUGAUGAUUUGUCUUUAUAUGCUAUGGUAACAGCUUUAUUUAUUUUUGGUGUAAAUAUUUUAUGUGCACAAGGAGUUGUGAACAUAUAUUUAUCAAUAUAUUGUGUAAAUGGUGCAUAUUUUAAUACGAAAUUUUGUCUUAAUAAAAUAUCACAUCCAAUUGUGUUUGACAUAUAUAUUGUAUCAACAAAUACUUCUCUAAAGGAAAUUAGAAAAGGUACUUGCGUAGCAUAUUUGCUAUAUAUUACCUUAUUUCCACCAGCUGUUGUAGCGGUGACGAUCUUCUUUGAAUUAUAUUUUCAGUAUUCAGAUGGUAGUACAUUUGAUAAGCAUAAGCUUAUUGUACUUCCUGUAUCUAGGUAAGCAUGAAAUUUUAUUUUGCAACAACUUUUUAUAUUGAGUAUAAUUUCAAUAUAUAGACUCAUGAGAUUAGUACUAAUUACUCUUUCCAUGAUAAUAAUGAUUUCAUAUUUUCAUCUAUUCUUGAUAUGAUGAUUGGAUUAUUAUCAACUGUUAUUUUUAAAUAUCCUUGGCAGAUUUUAUAAGGACUAUAUUCCUCAAGAAAGUUCAUUCCUAGUAGUAUAGGUGAACGUUCAACUCCAUAUAGUUCAUCUUUAUAUAGAAUUAUUUCUUUAGUAUAUUCUUUCUGAUCUUCUCCCAUAAGUAUAAGAGGAAACUUUACAUAUUUUCUUAUUUCGAGAUUAUUUCCUAAAUAAUCAUUGAAUAUAUAUGGUUCUGGUAAUUCAAAAUCUAUUAAAUGACUAACAAAUUUAGCAUUUACAUGACUUUUAUCUGCUUCAGUGUCUAUGAGGACAAGAAGAUUCUUCUUAUAUCCUUUUUGAUUUAUAUAUCUUGUUUUGAUAUAAUAUUGCGAAUUUGAUGGUUCAGCAAUACUUAAUUUCUUGAGUUUGCUUAUGUUAGAGUCUUGUCUAGAGGGGAAUCUUGCAAUAAGAUUGUCUCCUUCUAGGCUGACACUAUUUCUUCUUAUCAAUUUUCCUUCAAAAUUAAUUUCUCUAGCUUGUUUGUGGAAAUCAAGCAUUAUCUGUUCUGGUAUAGUGACUUCAUGUUCUUGGUAUUUUCUAGGAGGUACAUAUUGUGCUAACUCCUCAAAAUCUUUAUAUAUGAUAAUAUUAUCAGUUAUUUUUCUUAGAUUGUUAUGAUGGCUAGUACUAAAAGCAAAAUUCGAUUUUAUGCUUAUACUAAUAGCCUUACUUUUUCGUAACAUUUUCAAGUUUUCAAUUAUAUAAUAUAAAUUGAAACUUUGGUCAAUAUUUUCAUCAAUCAGUGAUAUUGCAUAAUUUGGUUUUACUAUGAAUAUUAUCUUUUGAUAGACUAAAUUUCCUACAACUGUUCCUAAUAGAGUAUCUAUAGGAUCUUGUAAGAUUCUGUUAUCCAUACAAUAUAUUUCUAUUUGUUUCUUAUGUUUCCGAAAUUUUGGAUAACUUUUGUUUUACCCAUUCUUUUGUAAUUAUAGGAAUUCUUGAUUUUCCUAUAAUAUCUUCUAUAUUGAUAAACAUUUCUUUAUAAUUCAUACUUACAAUUGUUUUAUUUACUCUUGGUAGUAUCCUAAAAAUCCUUGAUGGAAUACAUCUUUUUCUUGUAGAUAUAAUAUUUUCUUGGUUAUUCCUUUGUAUUUUUUAAUAUCAAAGGUAAUUUCUUGAUUUAUGUCUUCUAUCGAGUCUACAACUUCUUCAGUUGUUUCAACUUAUAUUUCUAGAUCUGCUUGUUGUAUCUCUUGAUUCAUAUAUACUAUCUCCUCAGAAUCUUCCUCUGAUGAGGAAGUAUCUAAUUCAUAAAUACUACUACAUUCACUGGUUAAAUCUCCAAAAUAUUCAAUUGGUUUUAUAUCACUAUCAUCUUGAAAUUUUUCAUAAAUUCUAAGAGUUUUUAUAUUCUGUCUAUCCUUCUUUUUGGGACAUCGAAGGGCAAUGUGUCAUUCUUCAUUACAGAUGAAACAUCUACAUUUUUUAAUAUUUCUUGGUUUAGAUUUUUUAUUCCAAUUUCUUUUUUUAAAAUAUUUUUUGUGUGGUUUAAAAUUUCUUUGCUUAAAUUUUUUGUAGUUUUUGAAUUUUUUUAUAUUUUUUAUUUGGUUUAUAUUUCUUCUUAUGAUAUCCAAAUUGUUCAAUUUGGCCUAUAUCUUUGUAACAACACAAGGAAUUCUUUCUUAUUUUAUAUGUUUUCCUACUUUCUAGAGCUUAUCUGCACCACAUGCUUAUCAUUCUUUUUGUAAAUUCAAUCAUACUUCCAAAACUAUCUAUUUUUACUCCUCCCUCUUCUCCUAGAGGUAAUAAUUUCUCAUAUUCUUUUAAUAACUUAAUUCCCCAUGGGAAUGAUAAUUUCGUAUAGACUUAUUUUCUUGAUAAUCUCCUUGAUUUAAUAUAUAGUAUAAUUCUUCAAAUUUACGUGUAUAUCUUUCUAAUUCACACGUCACAUAUUCUUAAAUUUUUCAUUACUAUCAUUCCUUCAUUAUAUUCAUCUUGUUUUCUAUCUUCUUCAUUAGAAGUAUAUCUAUUUCAUAAGAACUCUGUUCUUAAGGCUCUUUUAAAUCUUUUUAAUAUUUCUUGUGUAUUUUGAUCAUUUAAAUUAUUCCUAUUAUCUAAUAUUUCAGUUCUAUUUUCUCCAUACUUUAUUCUUUCUUUUACAGAUUCUGGUAACUUUCUCCACCAUUUAGAAACAAUUCCUCUGAAUAUAUGUUCUAUAAAUCCAAAAACUGUAUAUGUUUCCCAUUUAUUAAAUUGUAUUGCCAAGUCGGUACUUUUCAUCAAUAUUUCAAUAGCUUUAUUUUUAUCUACACAGUCUAGAUCCAACCAUAUUCCUGUUGUGUGGAUUGGUUCAUUAUAAGAUUUCAUUGGAUUCGUUUCUUUUAUGGAUUGUUUUCUUAUAUUUUCAGUGUAUCUUUUCUGUGUUUUUCUAUAUUGAUUAAUACCUUCUUUAAUAAGUAUCGUAGUAUAAUAAGGAUAAUCAUAUUCUUCGUCACUACUGAAUUCUAUUUUUAUAUUUUGACUUGUUGAUGGAUUAGUAUUCAUUUUUGUAUUUUUCAUUUUUUCAGUCAAUUCUUCUAACUGUUUUUUAUAUUCAUCAUACUGUUCACCAGUAGAUUCUAAGAAUUUUUGUUCUAGUUCUUCUACAUUUGUAAUCAUAUAUUGAUUUUUUUCAUGUUUUUCCCUUUAUUAUUUUCUUUUUUUUUUGUUAUCAUAAAAUCAUGAGGUGGAUUAAUUAUAAUCUUAUCUUUUCCUUUAAGGUUUUUAUCUAAAAGAGCAUUUUCUACUUGUAGAUCAUAUUCUAAAUUUUUUAAUCUUUUGUGUAUAUCCUCAAAACUUUCAUUUGUGGUGUUUUUAGAUGAAUAGGGAUAACUUGAUUUUUUAUAUUUUUAAACCUUUUUCAAAAAAUUUUCAAUUAUAUUUUCUUCAUCUACUAUAUUCAUCAUAAUUUUAGGUUCGUAACAUGGCUCUGAUACCAUUUAGUAGGAAUGUGCAGCGGAGGGGUUAAGAUUUUGAAUCCAAUUAAAAUCUUUAUAAGUAUUUAAAAUAUUAAAAUAGAAUUUAUAAAAUUCACUAUCUUUUGUUAAAAAAAUUUCUUUAAUAAUUAUAUUUAAUUUGUUAAUUCUUCUUUCUAAUUUAAGAAUUUGUUUAUGUAUAUUAUUUUCUAUUUUGAUUGCUCUAUAAUCCAUAUAAACAUUUUUAUAUUUUAAUUUUGGAUCUAACUAUUCUAUAAAGAAACUUUUUAGAUCUUCUUUUAAAUAGUUUAAUUCAUUAUCUGUUGCAUUUCUUAGAUCAAUAAAAUUUUGUAUAAUAUUUGGGGUUAAAUUUAUUAAGGAUUCAUGAUCUAUAUUUCUUUUGGGACCUAAUUGAAGGUUUUUAUACAUAGUAUUGGCUUUGGUUGCAAAUUCUCUAUGAGGGGUAUUUUUGGAAAGCUUAUUAUUCAAAGGUUAUUCUUAAAAUAAUUAUAUUUCUAUGUCUAAUCUUAAAAUUUACUCUUAUAUUUAGGUUAUUUGUAUGUAUUUCCCCUAAAGAUUGUCAUUGUCUUUUGCAACUGUGCACCUCUUUUUCCAGAGAAGGUCCACAAGAAUGAGAAAUCAGCAGUGACCAGAUGAAAGUAAUUGAAUAUCUGUACAAGAAAUUCCUUGAAUUCGUUUGCUAGCUUUCUAGCCGAACUGUUUGUCCUACCCACUGAUGCUCUCCUGUCUUCGAGAUCAAUCAUCUUUAUCUUCCCCUUAACCUGAUUUUCCUUCUCCCCAAAAUUGUUGAGCUAGCAACAGUGCCAUUGGUGAUCAUCAGAGAGAUACUAUCGGACAAGACAAGCUCCUGCGUCUAAAGGGCUGGUUUCAAAGUCUUUGGUGACCAUGCUUCCUCGAAAAAAGAGAAAGAAUUCACGAAGAAUCAUUUAAAAAAAAUUGAUAGAACACAAUUAUCUCCUGGCAUCCGCUCGUGGGUGCCAAGAGCACAUUGUUCCGUGCAUCACGGAGCAAAUGGAGUUGCUCAUUUUUUAUUUAUUUUUUAAAUGAUGCUCAAUGUCAAUUUUUUUUCAUUAAGUGAUUGAUAUUUUUUUUGUAUCAUUUUUUUUUACUGGGUGAUUUAUUUAGUUUUUCUUUUUAUAAAAAUCUUCAUAAAUCUUUUAUACUCUCGAAGUUCAUUUCGAGAGCUAUAUCAUAGACAAAUCGAAUGAUUUAAAUAAAAAUCGAAAAUAGUUAAACGUACAUUAAACGUGUGUUAAAAAAUGCGUAUAAUUCGUCUUUUUUCUUUAAAAAAUCAAUUAUUUUAUUAAUGUUUAUUAUUUUUUCGCAACAAUUUUCUCAAUAUAAUUUAUAUCAUUUUCUUAGAAUCGUGUAUAUUGUUUAUUUCCUAAAAGCAGUUGUGAUAUAUCAAAGUAAAACUUAACACAAUAUUGAAAAAAUUUAAUACUCGAUCGAAAAGAUGUGAUUAGUUUAUUUGACAAUAUUGAAUAUUUUCGAUGCAUAUAAAUUUUGGAGAAUUAAAUUCAAAUAUAUCAAAAUUGGUCAAUUAAAUAAAAAUCUCAACCCCAUUUAAGUGACAAAAUAUCAUACUGUGACUCAAUUUAUGUUUGGCUCCAUUAAUUUUUUUUUUCUCUCUUUUAUUUUUAAUCGCAGAAUCUUUCAUAAAAUAAUAUUACACGUAAAUAAAAAAAUUGAUUAAAUUAAUUGGAUAUUGAACAAUAAAAAAGAUUUGAUUAAUUACAUGAUUCAAUUAUAAUGAAUAUAAUUAUCAUCAAAUACGUCCUUUAUAAGUAAAAUAACCACUCGGACUAAAAUAAUGUUUGAUAUAUAAAUUAUGAGCUCCAAUAAUUUGGAUUUUUAAUCCAUGCAUCAAGGGAACAUUUAUCCUAUCUCCAGAAAAUACAUUUCAAUUAUAGCAAUACAAAAUUGAGACCAACUAAUUUUUCAUCUUGAUUAUUUUAACAUUUGAAAAUAUUUUAUAUAUAAAAGAAAUUCGAUAAUUUUUAGGAAUUUUUUUCUUAUUGUUACUUUUUCCUCUCGAUCAAUUAAUUUUUUAAAUAAUAUAAUAAAAUUUUGACGUCAUUUAGAAAAUUUCCUAAUAAACUUUUAAUUUUUUUUUUCAAAUGUCAAAAGUGUGUAAUAUAUGAAAAUUACAUUUCCAUUUAUCAUUUUAAACAAUUAAUCAAAUUUGUACAUUUAUUGAGAAAAAAGAAUUGAUAUUUUGACAUAUAUAUAUAUAUAUAUAUAUAGGUAAGUUUUUAUAAUAUUAUAGCAAGAACAAUAACAAAUUAUGUGCCUCUACAUUUUUUUGGUAAUCUCUAACAGCAGGGAUCCAGUUGAUGUUGUCAUCCUCACAAUCCGACCACCACACAACCCGUCACCAACGACAUUAUUUUCAACAAUGUUAAUUUUUUUUGGAUUAUGAGUUUUAUUUUUUAUGAUGUUUCAAAAAUUUAUCGAUUAUAUUUAACAUUUAUGAUGUUUAUCCUUCACUAUUUAGGUAGAUUAUUGAGUGUAGUAAUGAUCUAAGUGUUUUUUCUAAUUAAAAUACUUUGUUCUUGCUAGAAAUGAUUAUUUUCAGCAAGAGAAAAAGGAGUUGGCGACUGUUGGCUAUCCAAUAGUCGUUGGACCCGACCUUUAACAAUCGGGUCACAAAAACAAUUGGCCGGCACCAACCAACUGUUUGUGCUGACUCAAAUCUUUAAUUUUUUUUUUUUUUUUUUAGACCCACUUUUUUCCUUCAUUUUUUUAUUGUUUAUCAAUUCUUUCCUCUUUAUGAUAAUUUAAUUUUUUUCAAUUUUAAUUAAUAUUUAUAUUCUUUAUUUAAUUUUUAUAAUUUUCUUUCCAAAUCUUUACUUUUUUUGGGAAAUAGUUUUAAAAUUUCCUAAUUGUUUUCUUCAUAUUUUGAAUAACUUUUUUUUCAAUUUUAAAUUCUUUUCAUUUUAUGAUAAAUUAAUUUUUUUUUUCAAUUUCAAUAAAAUAAUAUUUAUAUUCUUUGUUUAAUUUUUAUAACUCCCGUUGUUUAAUCUUUUUUUUUGCAUUUAUUAUUAUUUUUUUGGUAAUAAUUUAAAAAGUUUCUUUAUUGUUUUCUUCUUCUUAUAAAUUGUUUUUUUUUUCAAUUUCAAAUACUUUUCAAUAUUUUUGUAAUAUUUUUAAUAUUUUUACAAUUUUCUUUAAUUUAUUUUUCUUUUUAAUUUUUGAUCAUUAAUUUGUACAUAUUUUAAUUAAUUAUUAUUAUUUUCUUUAUUUUUAAAAAAAAUUAAUUAUUUUUAGUUCAUUAUAAUUUUUUUAAUUUAAAAUGAUUUUUUACAUUUUUUAUUAUUUUCUUUAAUUUAUUUUUUAUUUUUUAUAUUUGUCUGUAAUUCUUUUUUCUAUUUUUCUCCUUUAAUUUAUUAAAUUCUUUCUUUCUUUCUUUCUUUUUAUUAUCAUCAGUAUAAAACGAAUCUAUUUCUUACGUAUAGUAGUUAUAAUUCAUUUCGCUUAAUUUUUCUGAGAUUAUGCUUUAUUCCAUUAUUUCUAUAAAAAGGUUUUAACAUUUGAAUUUUUGCGUAAUGGAGUACCAUUUCGAUGCCGAGUUGAGACAGAUGGCAAGAAAAUGUAUUUGGAACAAUAGAUUUGAUAGUUUUACUAUUGCAUUGAGUAUAGUAAUGAUUUAAAUGUUUAUUUUAAUGAAAUGCCUUAUUCUUGUCGAAAUGGUGAUUUUCGACAAAAGAAAUGGAGCCAACGACUAUUGGCUAUUCAUAUUGUACUGAGAAGGGUCAACUUUCAACUUGUUUUGUAAAUCAUGAUACAAUUUUUACAUAUGAAGUACUCGAUGUCAUGGUAAUUGGAAUAUCACUCAUAAAUUUUCAUAUCCAUCGAUCAUUUUCAUCAAAUUCAAAAUUAUCAAAAUAACAAAUCAAGAUUACAACUAUAUCUACAUGACGAAGUAGAAUUUUUAAUUAUAAGAGAAAUUAGUUGAAAAAUCGUCCCAACAACUCGGCAAUAGAAUUUUUAAUUUAAAAAAAGUUUUAGCCAACCGUUAGUAGCUGAUUGCCUAAGGUUGUUAACAGUCGACUGUUAAGGGUGGCCGAAAUAGUACAUUACCAUGAAUCUUAUCUGGCAAAAUAUGCAUGUAGAUGAUUUGUUUUCUUGUUUAUACUUAAAAAAAUUUAUGAAUCUAUUAAAAUUUUAUUUACAUGUUAAUCUAUGUAAGAUUUAUCAAUUAAAAAAGUAUACUAAUUUGACAAAAAUAAAACUAAACAUACGAAAAUAUACUUAUCGAUUCGAAAUUAUAGAUAUAACAAAUUUUUUUUAUUUAGUGUUUUUUUUGGAUAAUUUUUUUAUAUUUUGAGGUUGAUGCAGAUAAAAAUGAGAGUUUUUAUCUGUGUUGAAAUAAACAGAUAAAAAAUAGCUGAUUUUAAAAGUUUAAGUGGAAAUAUUUGAUUUUUACUUGUUAACUAAAAGAAUAGCAUUAUUUUUUGAACAAAAUAAUAUUUUAAAUUGUAUAAUAUAUUUAAUGACAUCUUUAUCUUUUAACUAUCUAUUGUGAAAAUGUACAAUUGUUAAAUUUUGAAGACUUUUAAAGGUUUUGAUGUACAUUUUUUAAGUGAUGACUUUUGUGAAUUUCGUGAAUCUUUUAUAGAUUUGUAUGGAAUUAUAGGAAAUCUUUUGUAGAUUUCUAUGGACUUUCAUUUUAAAAUUUUUAUAAACAUUUGUAGAAUUUAAAAAACUUUUGAAAACUUUCAUUUGAAAUAGAAUUCACGUAGACCUAGUACAAUGGUGUGAAAUUCUCAUAUACGAAGUGUUAGUUCACAAUUUUCCAUCCUUUCCCUUCUUCCCAUAUAAUAUGAAAAAAUAAAAAUUUAAGACCUUAAUUACAUAAAUAAUAAUAAAAAUUAUGCAUAUAUAUGAUUCAACAUUAUUAGUAUAGUAUACUUUUAAAAAUAAAUAAAAAUCAAUAUAUUUAAAUUUGAUUAUAAAUUUUUCAUAUAAAAAAUUAUAAUUUAAUAAAAAAUAAAUAUUUUUCCCAAAAAAAUGAAUGAAAAAAGAAAAAAUGCUACAAGAAUCCAAUUUAAUUUUUUCAUAAAAAAUAGAUAUAAAUUAUAAGAGAGAGAAAGAAAGAAAGAAAAAUGAAAAUAAAUAUAAUCGAUAGAAAAAAAUAAAUGUUAAUUAUACAUGUCCAUAGAAAUUUAAAGGAAAAAAGAUUGAUUUUUUUUUUUUUUGAAAGUCUUCAAAAGUCUCGUAAUUAAUGAAAGACAAAUUUUAGAAUUAUGCAACUUGUACAUAAAAAUAAUAUAUAAGAGAUUACAUAAAAUGAUGUGGAGAGAAAAUAUUGGAUUAAAUAGUUGAUUGUGUUUUAAAUUGGCCAAUGAUUGACGACAUGUGACAUUAUGUAACUCAUUGUAUUAAGUUUGAUAUACAUGUAACAAUAUUUCAAAUUUUAUGAGUACUUUCUGUUUAAAGUUAGUACUCCAAAUAUUUUUAUAAAAGAUUGUUAAAGUCAUUAAAAUUUGAAAACCUUGAUUUAUAAAGACUUUUAAAAAGUUUUAAUUGAGUAUCCUGUAAUUUUUUUGAGAUUUUUUAAAAGUCUCAAUUGAAUACAUCGUAAUUUUUAAAAACUUUUUAAAAGUAUAUAAAAGUCUCAAAUAGAUAUACCGUCAAUUUUAAAGAGUUUCAAAAAAUCUCAAUUAAAUACCUAUAAAUAUUUUAAAUCCCAAAAAAUCAUUAUAAUGUAUCAAUUGAAUACAACUCCCAUGGGAUUUCACUGAGCCAAUUUCAAAGGUACCCUUGUGAAAAGAAAGAUAUAACGGGCCGGGCUCCCAAUAAUUUGCUGUUUAAUUUUCGUGGAAAUGAUUCUACUUUCCAACACCCCCACCUCUGCCCUUUUUCACACGGACGCUGCGAAAAAUUUCGCUUUGCUCUGAUCUUUCGAUCAUCGUUGUUCCCUUAUAAUGGUUAUGCUCUCCCUAUGUAUAUGUGUGUGUGUGCAUAUGUAUGUAUAUUCAUUAGUAUAUUUACCAGCCAAGCUUUUUAAUUUUACGUUUUUUCUGUCCUUUAGGGUUUGUUUGCUCUGAUUAUUGUGAGAAUUUGUAAAAUAUUUUUCAGUUCCUGAAACCCUUUUUUCCUUUAGGCUCCAUGAUGUGGUUAUGCUGUGUUUUCGUUUGAAAUUUGAACGUAUAUGCUUGUUGUUGGUAUGAAGAUAAAUGGUGAAUUAAAUCUAGUAUUCUUGCUUACCAUGUUUAUUUUAGCGGUAUUUCUUAAUUAUAAACACUUAUUUACAUGUUUUAAUUAAAAAAAACUGAUUCUAUCAGUAAUAAUUUUUUUAUUUUUUGUUUUUUGCUGUUAUAUUGAAUUCUGGUCUCACUUUAUUAUCAGGUAGCAAAAUCCUAUAAUAAAAUAAAUAUGUAUGUUCAAGUGUGUUACAUGAAAUGUACCAAAACCAAAGCAAGUCACCCCCGAGAGAAAUAAAUGAAUAACAAAAGAUCUUGGGAAGAUUCAAAGAAGGUUUCCUGCGCCUGUAUUAACUGCAUGUAUGUAGUUAUCAAAACUGAGAGUAUGAUAGACGUUCAUGUACAAAUCUACCAUCGGAAGAACAUUGUAAUGGUGUUUUGCCUGCUCAAUACUUGAGUUAUAUUUAAGUGUAGAUAUAUUUUGGUAACACAGUAGGCAGAGAAAAGCAAUUACAUUUCUUUUAAGACGUUAAAUAUUAGAAAUCAUAUUUAAAGAGUACUGAAGUCCCUACAAUAUUUAUUUCUUCCGAUUUUUGUUACUAUUUCGUUUGAAAAUUGUUGCUCUUGUCUGUUGUGGAAUUUGUUAGGCCUUCUUUUCUACAUGGAUGGAAACCAAAUGGAAUAGAGUUUCUCUUCAUGAAGUGGCUUUUUUUAGGUUUAACUAACGGUAAACCUACAAGGGAGUGAUAAAUUGAUAAUUAUGUGUUAAGUUGCUAUAUGAAAUGUUUUUCCCUCCAGGAAAUGAUUGGAAUUCCUUUUUCUCCAAUACACUUCUACUGACUUUCACUUAUCAAUUUGUCAUUAUCGACUGACUUUAUCAUGUUUUACUUCCUUAGUUACUUCAGUUACAACAACAGAGCAAUAUUAUUUUCUCUACCACUGGUUAACUCUCUCUCUCACUCUCUCAUUCUGCAGAAAAGCAAAAAUAAAACUGCUUUGGUUGUCAAUUCCAAACCUUUGCUCCUCCCCUGCUGUCAACUGUUUUAUACCAACUCCUGCCCUUAUCCAACAGUCCUCCAUGGUCCGCCCACUUGAAAACUGAUUCAUUCUUAUUCUCUUUGCUCUUGGUAGUUAGGUGGGUUUACAACAAUGAAGCCACUUUAUAUUUUUUAAGUCAGUCAAUUUAAAUGUAUCAUUUGAAGAAAAGCUUCUCUAUUUCUGAGUCACAUCUCCUGCUAUUAACGAAUGAUGCAUGUUAAAGGCCAUUUACUUUCCAUUUGGGUUCAUUCUUUCCCAAUCUGAAAGGCAACCUACAUGGUUGUUCAUGAUUCCUUAGUAUUGCUGCAGUGUACCAUCCUUGACACUUUCUUCCAUGACUCUUUACUGGAAAAUUGUGAUUGAACUUUUGUUUUGGCAUGAUUUAUCCUUUUGAUUGGUUCUUCUACGUGUUACUUAUGUUGGAUUUGUGUUAUAUGCAGUCUAACAGGCACACUAUUAUUCUUAUGCAAGCAUCUCAGAACAGAGCAACUCGUACUUUUAUGGACUUUGAUUCAAUUAGUCAAGCGAUGGAUGGUAUUCUUUAAUUAUUGUCAUUGCUUAUAUAUUUCUGACGGUUACCCUUAUUCAUCUAAUUCAUUUUGUCAUAUAAUGUACUUGGUUUAGAAUGAUGAAUAUUUUAAAAUCUAAAAACUUACACAGCUUCUUCUUCUUCAUGGCAAGCAGGUCAUUAGGGAAAAAAAAAAAGAAAUAAUGCUAGAAAAUAUUACAGAUCAUGCACGUUGGUAAAAUAAAAUUUUCGAACCAAGACCGUAAAGUAUAAAAAUAUUAUAGUUCCAUGUGUUAUUUUCUCAUCAUUUUACUUAAAAUUUGUACUUCAUUAGUUUACAGGCGAAUGUGAUCGGAAUAACUCUAUUACAUCUGGUCUGUCCUAGAAAAAUUUCUUUUUUGGUAUCCUUAGUACAUACUGUACGUGUUAUUUUGUGGCUUUAUGUAAUGUUUGGUAAGGAUGACUUGGGUAGGACUAUAACAUAAAAAUGGAUGGAAAAAAAGGCUAGGGUUGGGGUGCAAAUCAUAAAUCAUGUAUCAGUAAAUCCUGUUUAGCAUGUCAAAGCAAGCCAAUUGGUAUAAUUUGAAACAUAUGUUAUGAAUCUGUCAUGUAAGAGGAUAUGUUAAAGUGCUGGUUGAGAUGUUAUGUUAUCAUAUCAAGGGUGAUACACAUUAUAUUACAUGCUGAUAUAAUUGAGCAAAGUAUUAGCUCGGGGCACUCUUAUUCUCUCAUCUUCCUCAUGUUUGUUAUGUCUGGGUUCUAGGCCUUACUCAGAUGGGAGUGUGUGAGGGAAGAGAAAAAGAAAGAGAGAUCUCGUUGGCGAGGUUGAUGGAGAUAAAGAUUAGAAUUGUCUGUUUAUUGUUCAAUUUUUGAGAAGAAACAGAAGUUUGAACGGAAGUUCUGGGGGGAAAUAUUGACACUUUCAUGUGGGAAGUUUUGGUUUUUUAGGUGGCAGAGGGGGCAGCUUGAUUUUGGCGGCCAGUUUAGGCAAUAUCUAAAACUCUGCCAAAGAGUUGAUGCUGAGGAAACCAUGGUGAAAUGAAUGGGAUCAAGCAUGUCUCAAUUAAGCCCCACUUGGCCCCCCAUUAAUUUUCAUUCCAUUACAUUUCAUUUUUCUCUCUCCUAUUUUUAACCACAGAAUCUUCCAUAAAAUAAAAACUUUUCUUUCUUUUUCAGCCACUUAUUUUUCAAAAAAAUACUAUUCUACACAUUUUCAUUACCACAAAAUGGGCCCAAACGGGGGCUUAGUUUUUUCGACUUGGGAAGAGGAUUUUAUCUAAAGAUCAAUGUUCAUAAAGAUGGUGUUGGCAGAACACAAAUCACACUGAGCGGUGGAAGGAGCUUGGGGCUAUGGAGAAGAAGAGCUCUUGCUUCAUGUAAUUAUGCCUUUGUAAUUUCAAGCUUUAGUAAUUUGAGCUAUGAUGAGGGCUGAAUACUCUUGGUUAGGACUUGGGAGAGAGUGCCCUUCUAGGUAGCGAAGAAAGGAUCAAAGAGAGGAGGGACGGUGAAAUUUCAGUUGGGAUGGGCAUAGGAGAGAAAACCUAGUCUCUUGAAACAAAAAUGUGUCAAUGGCCUGGAAAAAUGCAUAUGACAUCACUCACUUGCAGCAUAAUAAGGGUAAAAUAGAGUUGGUUAUUUGGACUAAUGGGAGCUUAUAAUUUAUAAGAACUACUAGGAUAGAAAGAAGGUGUAGGCUUUAAGCGUAACCCUGGCUAAGAUUUUGUUUAUGUUGAAUUUUGACAUUUAUCCUGGUCAUAUGAUUUUGUGAUAUACAAUAAGACUAUAAAAAUAAGAUCAAAAUCUUAAGUAUUCCUCGUUAACUGCAACAUGCUUGUUUUAGACAAAUAGGUCAGUGAACUCCAAAACAUCAGAAUCAUAGAUUUAUUUUUUGUGUGUAGAUCAGUUAUCUUUUCAAUUUUGGGCUGAAAAGUUGUGCUAUAUCUGUGGCUCAUGGGUGCCCUCUCCCAUAGCUUCCAGAUGUGCCGCCACCCCCCCCCCCUUCUCCCCAAAAAAAAAAAUAAUAAUAAUAAUAAUAAAAAUAAAGCAACCCUUAACAAAUACCAUCUUCUGUGUAUUCUUUUUACAGCAUAAUUAAAACUAUGGAUGUAUAAUUGCAUAAUGUCAGGUAUAACUAUGGAUGUAUAAUUGCAUAAUGUCAGGUAUACAUGAAUCUUUCAUUCGUGAGAUCGAUAAAAUACCGCUGUUAAUAAUUUUACCUGGGGAGUAUUAGAAAAUGCAAAUUACAUUGGCUGUUGCGUCUGAAAUAUGAAAAAUGCCUUCAUAAGCAGGAUAAUUGAGUUCCAUUAUAGAUAUUGUCAUUAUGCUUUUCAAAAUCCUAGUGCACUAUUAUGGUUCACACUGCUAAUGAUUAUCACCUCUUUCUCUGCAGGAAUUUGUGGACUAUAUGAAAGGAAACUUAAGGCGAUCAAUCCAGCCAUCAGAAACCUCUCUUAUGAUAUUUCUGAUCUUUACAAUUUUAUUGACGGUCUUGCAGAUUUGAGUGCAUUAGUGUAUCUCUCUUUGUCUCUCCUCAUCUCUUGCUCACACACUUUUACACUGAUGCAUGCACACUAAGGCACUCGCAUGCAUAACGACAAACAUAAACUUGGCCAUGCAUGGUACAGAUGUACUGCUUUGUUGACUUCAUAAAUCAUAACCUCUUCUGAACUCUGCAUUAUGUUUAACUGCUGCUCUACGUGAUUUGAAAUCUUAAGCCGACCUCUCUGACAUUGUGAUGAUAGAAUCCAUGAUACUGUAAACUUUUUGGAUUACAUGUAAAUUUUUUGCUUCUGUAAUUUCAUAUCAUACUAAUUGUUAUUCUGUAGGUCUUUCUUAUUACAUUAAAUCGAGCUGCACCUUCCAACAUUCACCACUUCGCGUACACAUAAUUUGAAGGCAUUUGCUACUCUUGUAAGUAAUGUUUAAUGAUAUCAUUUCUGCAGCUAUGAUCACUCAAUUCAGGCUUACCUUCCAUACGACCGUCAGUGGAUCAAACAUAAGACAUUACAGCACUUGGAGAAAUUGGCUGGUUGAUGAGUACUGCGUUCGGAUAAUCUCUAAUUGGAUUUCUCAAGAAGGCAGGAAGUGAAGAGUCAGAGUCUUGGUUGGAUUAGUAUUUCAAUCCUCAACUCACGUAUCUAAGCUUGUAUCUUAUGUUUUCUUCCCCUAUGAAAGAAGUACAAGAAACUUGUGGCAUACGAGUUUUAUUCACAUCAACUGUUGCUGAAAUUAGUCCGCUUCAUGUGUAAUACUCGUUUUACAAUUGUGAUAGGCAGAAUUUAUCUAGCAAAUUUUAUGGAAAGAAUUGAAAUUUUAUCGGUUGUGGCUUCAUAUUGUUGAGAACCUUUGUAUGAAUUCGUGUAAUCUCUAAUCGAAACAUGUUUUAUAUAUAUAUAUAUAUAUAUAUUUUUUUUUUUUUUUUUUUUUUCAAAAUAACUUUGACAUCCUAGUACAUGGCACUCAUCAUGUAGCCUUUGAUUUUUCCAACAUCCUUUUACAUCACACAUCAGAUUUUGACACACAAGAAGCUGUGCAAACUCUUGAAAUAACCAUAGUUAAUUUGAGAAAUGUUGAAGGAAAGAGACAAAUAAAUAAGAGCAUAUUUAAGAAAUUAUCUAUUUUUAAAGAGUAUAUUCUCUCAUUUAGAGAGCAUUUAUAAAUUUAGAAAAUUAAAAUGUUGAAGCAAUCUAACAAACUCUUUAUUAUUUACAAUUAAUUUUAUUACCUCCAAAAAAUAUUUAAUAUCUUCUAUUUUAAUGAGCGUUACUUUAGAUUAUUUUAUUGUAUUUUUACAUUGAAAUUUGAAACACUUUGAAUACAUUUAAUUAUAGAGAAUGAGUUUAGCUCUUCAAACCACUCUCUAAAUUGAAAUCUUAAUUCAAAGAGUCUCUUGGUGUAUGAUUUUAAUGAUUGAUUAUUUAAAAUAGAGAGCAUUUCAUGUUUAAAGUAUCUCUUGAAUAUACUAUAAAGGAAAAUGCCAUCCUUAAUGUAAACAAUAAUGUCCAUCUAGAAUAAUUCUAAUUAAUUCUAAUAGUUGUGUGCUAGAGACCGGUUUGCUAAAUGGUAGGGCAAUGACAUAUGUUGCUAUGACUUGAUUUGAAGUUGACGUCAAGGAAUUUGAGAUCGACUAAAUUUUGGAAUAGUUAACAUCUGUAAAUUUUAAGGGAUGGAUCGAGGAGCUUUUAAAUAGAGAUCGAGGCUUGCUGACUGAUGGAAGAAGAUGAUGGCCGUUAAAAGACAUUAGGAUUGUGAGUACUAGAUUUGCAAUUUUACUGUGAAAGAUUAGGGAAAAUUGCAUAAUUGGGCUCUAACUCUAGUUUAUUGUUGGAUUAGCAAAUUAAUUAGUAAUCAAUCUUAGAUCAUAAUUGAACAGUCAGCCUUUCACUUGUUAGGUCAUGUGAUGAUCUUAUAUGAGGGACUGAUUGUGCAACUAUGAUGACCUUAAUGAUCAAAUAACCUUUUUCUUUAUAAGUUUUCUACUCGAACAAUUUUUUCAAAACGUAUUCUAAAAUUGUUAAUUGUGUGCGAUUUGAAAUGCUUUUAACAACCUUCAAUCAAUUUUUACGCACCAUGGGUCAAUAUAUUGUCUGCACAAGAAUAAAUAGAUUUUGAUGUUUAAUUAUUUAUAUCAACAUCAUGUUAUGAAGAUUUAGUUUACACUUUUCCUAUAUUUAUCGUGUUUAAAUUAAUUAAAAUGAUUAAAAAAUCAAACCUACUGUUUGUACAGAAAACUUCUGCCAAAAUUUUACCAGAAAACACUGAGUAANNNNNNNNNNNNNNNNNNNNNNNNNNNNNNNNNNNNNNNNNNNNNNNNNNNNNNNNNNNNNNCCAACAGCAACAUUUGGUGAAAUUCUGACAGAUCUACUUCUGUACAAGCAGAUUUAUCCUUGAACAAUUUGGGUCAAUUUAAUACUUGUGUCCCACCCAACUUCUCAAAUUUCAAUUAGUCAUGAUGUUUAAGAAGCUUUUAAUUUACUGAAUUUCCUGAAUUCAUUUUUGAUAUAGAUUUUUUUUUAUAGUUUCUUAAUCAGUUUUUCUUGGAUGCUAAUAUACUAUUUUGGACAUUCAUAUUUUAGCUUAAUGGGAAAAUAAGAAGUUUGUGGAAAACAAUUUGACGUGAGGGAAAGAAAUUAGAAGGAAUUAUUUAUUUAUUUAUCUCAAAUAUUUCGAAAUUCGUCAUUAUUUUUUGAGAACAUACAAAAUUGUUGAUAUUCAUUUUCAUUAGCUAUGAAAGAGAUAUUCUUUUUGUCGAGACAAUAAUCCUUUUUUUUUUUUUUCACUCCGAUGUUUUAGUUGUAAAGCAUAGAAAGUGAUCCAUACAACUGAAAUGAAGUCCAUUCAAUAAGCCCCUAGGGCACAUCUUCAAGUGGUAAAAGGGGAGGGUGAAAAAAUCUAACUUUACUUGAUGCUGCUGCGUCAAGGGUUCGAAUCCUGAAAUAUGGAUUUGGCUCUUGGAUAAAUGCAAGUGUACAAGCAGCCUUCCACCCUGUACUCUUAGAGGCAUAACCUACGAUUUACCUCCCUCACGAUACUUCAGAGCAGUGGCGGUGGAAGACCCUUAAGGUUGGGGUUCAACCUUUUUUUGUGAAAUGAAGUCCAUUCAAUAAUGAUCUAUAGUGAAGUGACACGUCGAAUUUAUAAUUAUUGAAGGACUCUCGUGAUUGAGCUUUGAUUGGAGAAAAUUGUGAAUUAGAUAUUAUCAUAAAAGAAUAAAAAAUGACAUGUCAUUCAAUCAUGUUCGAUUCGUUCAAACACUUGGCAAAAACUUUGAUCUCAAAAUUAUAAAUUCAUCUCUCUAAAUGAUUUCCAGAAAGAUAUUUGACUACCAAAAUUUAGAACACACGAUUAAUACCACAUAAUAUUUGGAAUGCGGAUAGGUGCAUGUAAUAAAUACAAUCAUACUAUGUUGCUCGAAUUUUUUUGACAUAAUCACUGAUAGACACUCACAAUGGGAGGGGAUCCACUUUUGUUUUGGACUUUUUUAUUCACACGGGAUUCAUGCGCAUGUGAGAAAACGUCAAUUAUUCUGUCAAAAAAAUUCAGAUAAAGUAGUUUAAUUCAAGAUCGAAGGAAUAUGUUUUGAGUUAUUUUGACUCAAAUAUUGAUAUUAUUUGAUUUUUGCCUACUUUGAUUAUGAUUUUUUUUUUGAUUUGCCAGCUCUGAAUAAUCAAUUAUUUUAUGCUAAAGAAAAUAAAUAUGUGGUUCAAAUCUAUUGGAAAUUAUGUAUUUGAUAAAUUGUCAAAGAGACAAACUUUUCCUGUUUAUGCGAUGGUAGUGUCAAAUCGAUGCCAUCAAUGUGAACCUAUAUUUGUCCUUUUUGAUAAGUCUAAGUGCUUGUUUGAUAGGGAUUUUGAUAAUUGAUUUUUUGACGAUUAGAGAUAAAGUAAUUCCUACAUGUGAAAGAAAAAUUCAAAAAUGACGACUGAAAUAGUAAAAUAACGGUAAAAAAAUUGAGUUUAAUUGGCUUUUAAGCCCUACCAAACAUGCUCAUUAAAUUAGAUUUUUAGAUUAUUUUAAUAAAAAUUGGUAAAAUACAUAGUUAAAAAAUUGUAAGCACUAUAUAAAAUGUGAUUAAAAUUAAUUAUUAACUUUAACUUAAAUUAAAAUAUAAAAUAUAGAUUUUAAUUUCUGCUAAACAAGUUUACAAAGUUCAUUGGUUAAUAAAUUAAUUAUUAGUAUAAAAGUAAAUUUUAAAAUUAUUUUAAUUAAUAAAUUUAAAAAUAAAUAGAUUACUUAUUUUUAUUUUACAAGUGGUAAUAUUUAUAUUAAAAUGGUUUCUUUUAAAAAACAAAGUUAAAUUAAUGAUAAAAAAUUACACUAAACCCCUGUUUAUUUUCCAUUAUUUCUUCAUUAAAAUGAAAAAUAUGACCGUUAUCUAUCACAUCAAGCCAUCAUAUUUGAAUUUUUAUCUCUUGUGUAGGGUUCAUAACGACUAUAUUUAUUAUUCUCAUUCUUCCAUAAAUGACAAAUGAAAUAUAUUAUGCCCCCCUUGUGGGGGAGAGUCUUUGAAAAGUAAUUAUUUAAAAAGUGAUUUUUUUUGGUGAGUACGAGUUAAAAGGUUAUGAGAAAGUAUGAAAAAUAAUUCUUUAAAGAAUGUGCCAUGCAGUUAAAAAUUAGUGUGGAGAACGUGAUUUUUCAAAAAAAAAAAAAAAAGAAAAAAAAAAGAAGGGGGUCUCACGAGCACUAUCCAUUAUACCGUCUAGUCUGGUGAUCCAAUAAUUAGGUAUCAGUAUAGAAAAUCUUUCAUAAUGUAGUAUAUGGUGUUUGAUUUGUUGUUUUUAUUAAGGGUACUGUAAUCACUUUUUAUAAUGAUAUAUUUGUAAUUUUUUCAAUAAAUAGUGCUUUUGUAACCAUUAUGCAAAAUAUAUAGUAUGUAAACUGUAAAUUUAAGUGAAUUAUAAUUACACCUUAUAUACAUAAUAAAUUUUGUAAUUUCCUAAUUUCAACGUCACAGAUAUUUGGUGUGACCACACUUCGCUAGAAAAUACUAGAGCAAAGAAAAUGUAGAAAAGGACAAAUAUAAGAUGAAGAUGAAGAUGAAAAUAAGUAUAAAAAAUAAAAUUUUAUUAAUGCUAUUUUUUUCCUUACACAAAAUUAUAGUUCCAACGAGAUCGUUCAUAUAUUAUUUUUUAAUGGUCCACAAGAAAUCAGCAGUAGAAGACGCGUGUUAUAAAUCAAAUAAAUGAGAGAAGAUCGCCAUCUCAUACUUGCUAUGAUUGCAUUUUAUUGGAACUGAGAAAAUACCCCAAAUGAAUCAUCUGUAAAUAAUUUUCGAUGUGAAAACAUAGAGUCAGGGACUAUUCUUUGAACAAGGUGACCUGAUGAUAGAGGAGCCGACAGCCGAAGACCCGAUGAACGGCGACAAUAAUUAAAUUCUUUGAUUUCUUCCGAAAGCAGAUAAUUAAUCACGUUUCGUGAAUAGUCGUGAUAUUGAGAAAUAUCGAAAAAGGCAUUUGGAAGCUAUUUAUUUUGCAUGAGCCACCAAACCAAUAAGAUGAAUCAAACGUCGUGCGAGCCUCCCACUAGGGGCCCGCUAUACCAAAAGCGAUAGAAACCUAUCGGAUAUUAAUUGCUGAUCUAAUGUACAACUUCGAAUAUUGAUAUUACGCCCUUUUUGAGCUUCAUUUUUUUCUUAUUAUUUUUUUUACAGUACUCAUUUUCAAUCACAUAUUUUUUAUUAAAAUAAUAUUACGCGUAAAUUAAAAAAUUUCUUUUUUUUUUAAUUAUACUUUUUUCAUCAAAUUAUUAUUUUAUAAUAUAUUACAAGAAAUUAAUGGGGCUCAAACGGGACUAUAUGAAGUUAGGGUAGAAGUCUACUUUCAACUAAAAUUUAGACCCUAUUUAAUCCCCAUUCUUUUAAAAAAAAAUACAUUUUAAACAGUAUUUUGAUAUCAUUUUAACAACACAUUCUUCAAUGAAAUAAUAUUACAUACGAAAUCAAAAAUUUUCAAGAUUAAGGGAGCAGAGCUAUGUGUGGGAAUUUAAUUUCCAGGAAUUUAACCAUAAUUUUGCAUACUUGGGAAUCUCCCCCCCGCCCCUUUAAAAAAAAAAAAAAAAAAAAAAAAUAGGAUUCAAACAAGGGCUCAGUAUGGUUAGUCACUCUCAAAAUGUUUUAAGCUUAAUACUUUUAAACUUGCUUUCCUUGAUGGCAACUAAAGUUCUACUUAUGCUGUAUGGAAAAUAAGAAAAUAACUUCUAACAACCUCAAACAAGUUUAAUAUAAAAAAAUAACGAUAAUCUAUUACUCUAUUUCUCUCUCUAGCAUUUUUUACUUUUAUUUUUUUCUUUUAAUUGUUUAAAAGUUAAAAGGUAACAAUAUUAAGCUCCUGUUUGAUGGUCAUCUUUUCUCAAAAAUAAUGUUUUAAAUAGUAAUUUUUUAAAAUAAUAUGUUAUAAAAAGGUAUAAAAAGCUUUGAAUUUAUGUGAAUAAUAUUUUAUUAUGUAUAUUUAUGGUUAAAAAUUAGUGUGGCGAAUGUGAUUUUCCAUAUAAAAAAUAAAAAGUCUAACAAGCACUAUUUAUUAUACCAUUUAAUCUUGUGAUCCAAUAAUUAGGUAACAGUAUAUAAAAUCUUUCAUAAUGUUAUUUUUAUUAAGGGUGUUGUAAUCACUUUUUAUAAUGACAUAUUUGCAAUUUUUUUCAAUAGAUAGUGCUUUUUGUAACCAUUAUGCAAAAUAUAGUACGUAAAUUGUAAAUUUAUGUGAAUUAUAAUUACACCUUAUAUACAUGAUAAUUUUUAUAAUUUCCUACAUUUCAACUUCACAAAUAUUUGGGGUGACCACACUUCGCUAGAAAAUACUAGAGCAUAGAAAAUGUAGAAAAUGACAAAUAUAAGAUGAUGAUGAAGAUGAAAAUAAAUAUAAAAAAUAAAAUUUUAUUAAUGCUAUUUUUUUGCUUACACAAAAUUAUAGUUCAAACGAGAUCGUUCAUAUAUUAUUUUUUAAUGGUCCACAAGAAAUCAGCAGUAGAUGACGUGUGUUAUAAAUAAAAUAAAUGAGAUGAAAUUGCUGAUCUAAUGUACAACCUAGAAUAUUGAUAUUACGCCCCUCUUUGAGCUUCAUUUUUUUUCAUUAUUAUUUUUUUUUACAAUAUUUAUUUUUAAUCACAUAUUUUUUAUUAAAAAAAUAUUACAUGUAAUUUAAAAAAAUUUCCUUCUUUUUUAAUCAUACAUUUUUCAUCAAUUUAUUAUUCCAUAAUACAUUACAAUAAAUUAAUGGGGCUCAAACGAGGCUAUAUGAAGUUAGGGUACAAGUCUACUUUCAACUAAAAUUCAGUACCUGUUUGUUUUCCAUUCUUUUUCUAUUAAAAUGAAAAAUAUGAUUGUUAUCCAUCACAUUAAGGAGGAUGUAUAUAAUUGAGAUUUUUAAUGACUUUUUGAGAUUUAAAAAGUUUAGUGGUAUUCAAUUGAGAUUUUUUUAGACUCUCCAAAAGUUACGAUAUAUUCAAUUGAGACUUUUUAAAAGUUUCUGUAAGUUUUGGAGUAUUCAAAUUUUAAUGACUUUUAGAGACUUAUAUAAAAAAUUUUGGGAUACUAAUUUUUAAGCAGAAAAUACUCAUGUAAAAUUUUAAAAUUUGUCUCUCAUUAAUCAUAAGACUUGGGGAGACUUUCACAAAAAUAAAUAAAUAAAUAAAUAAAAUAAAUUCAAUUUUUCUUUCCUUUAAUCUUCUAUGGAUAUGUAAUUUUUUUCUAUUGAUUAUAUUUAUUUCCAUUUUUCUUUCUUUCUCUCUUUGACUAUUUAUCUCUAUUCUCUAUGAAAAAAUUAAAUUGGAUUCUUGUAGUUUUUUUUCUUUUUUCAUUCAUUUUUUUUGUGAAAAAUAUCUAUUUUUUAUUAAAUUAUUAAAUUUUAUAUGAAAAUUUUAUAAUUAAAUUUAAAUAUAUUUAUUUUUAAAAGUAUACUAUACUAAUAAUAUUGAAUCAUAUAUAUGUAUAAUAAUAAUAAUUAUUAUUUAAUUAAGGUCUUAAAUUUUUAUUAUUUUCAAAUGCUUUUAUUAUAUGGGAAGAAGAAGGGGAAGGAUGGGGAAUCAUGGGAACUAACAUCUCGUAUGUGAGAAUUUUAAACAAUUGUAUUAGAUUCACGUGAAUUUUAUUUCAAAUGAAAGUUUUCAAAAGUCUUUUAAAUUCUACAAAAGUCUAUAAAAAUUUUAAAAUGAAAGUCCAUAGAAGUCUACGAAAGACUUCCACUAGUUUCAUACAAAUCUAUAAAAGAUCCACGAAAUCUACAAAAGUCAUAACUUAAAAAAGUUCAUCAAACUCCUCAAAAGUCUCAAUUAAAUACACCUCCAAGUCACCAUACUUGAAUUUCUAUCCUUUGUUUGGGGUUUGUAACGACUAUAUUUUUCAUUCUCACUUUUACAUAAAUGAAAAACAAAUGAGUAAGGUUAGUCACUUUCAAAACGUUUUAAGCUUGAUACUUUUAAACUUGCUUUUCUUGAUGACAACUAAAGUUCUUAUGCUGUAUGGAAAAUAAGAAAAUAACUUCUAACAACCUCAAACAAGUGUAUAUUAUAAAAAAAAAUAACAAUAAUCUAUUACUCUAUUUCUCUCUCUAGCAUUUUUUUUUACUUUUAUUUUUUAUUUUAAUUGUUUAAAGUUAAAAAGGUAACAAUAUUAAGCUCCUGUUUGAUGGUUAUUUUUCUCAAAAAUAAUGUUUUAAAUUUUAAAUAAUAUGUUAUAAAAAAGUGUAAAAAGUUUUUAAUUUACCUGAAUAAUAUUUUAUUGUGUAAAUUUAUAGUUAAAAAUUAGUAUAUAGAAAAAGGAAUUUUGAAGUAAUGGUGUCAAACAGGGACUAAAGUUUUACUUUUGAAAGAGUACCAACUUUAUUAAUUAAAAAGUAAAAAUAAUAAAUUAUUUAAAUAUUUUUAUCUUUCUGGAUUUGUAGCCAAUCAUGAAAGCGGUCUUUAAAGAAAAAAAAUAUUCAAAUCAGUAUUUAGAAUUCGGAAGCGAUGAGAUUAGUGUAAGUAAUUAAACCCUAAUACGAAGAUCUUUAGAAUUUAUGAUUUUCACAUAUACAUUUAAUUGAUCAAGAAAUAUACCUUGAUCCAUGACAAUAAACUUGUGAUUUAAAAAAAAAAAAAAAAAAAAAAUAUUGAAAUCAGUAAUCAGCAAUCAGAAUUCGGAAGCUAUGAGAUUAGUGUAAGCAAUUAAACCCUAAUACCAAAAUUUUAAGAAUUUAUGAUUUUCACAUAUACGUUUAACUGAUCAAGAAAUAUACUUUGAUACAUGACAAUAAUUGAAUAAUAUAAAUCUGCAAAAGAGAAAUUAGUAAAAUAAAUAAACUAUUCUCUCCUUUUACCUCUAGUAAAAUAAGUAAACUAUUCUCUCCCUUUAUGAUUUUCACGUAUACAUUUAACUGAUCAAGAAACAUACCUUGAUCCAUGACAACAAUUGAAUAAAUUAAAUUUGCAAAAGAAACUAGUAAAAUAAAUAAACUAUUAUCUCCCUUUGCCUCCAUGUAAUUGAAUGUUUAAUUCAAUAGAUUCCAUUCACAUUUAUAGGGAGAGAAAAGCAGUUUCUUUGGCCAUAAAAAUAACUAUCAACUUUCCAUCAAAAUAAAAAGUUAUAAAAUUGUCACUUCUCAAUGGGCACCUUGGAUUUUUAGAAAUAUAAACUACUUCAAUUAAUUAUUUAACAAUAUUACAUGGGUUACAAUUAAUUGGUUUUACAUUCUCCUGCUUGGCCCCUGUAAUAUUGUUUCGUUAUGUGAUCUAUAACAUAAUGCGUAUGUCUAAGCUAAAAUCCCUUGUACAUUGGUCACUUAACAUAUCGUCCUUAAGUAAAAAUUAAUAUAAGUCAUGGUGGUUUCACACCAUCGUUUUGGCAUAAUUCCUUCCACGUACUACAAUAGGAGUCACCACCUAACAUGAACGUAACGAGAAGUUCGAUAAUUGCAAUACAAUAAUGUCUUCAAAAAGGCUAUUCCUAUCAACAUUCACAAAAGGACCACACUUGGGGUGGGACCGACGCCCCCUCCAAUAGGGGGCGCAAUCCUUCACAUAAUUCAUUCAUGUAUAUGUAUCAACAAUUAUGACAGGAAGAAUAUUUUUGUAAAAAACAAUACAUAAAUGAGCUCGAAGUGUCAAUUACAUAAAUUCCAUAAUGUCAACGAUCAUUUUCAAUAAUACCCUUUCUCUCUACAUGUUCGUUAGAUAUCUUUGGUGUCAAUCAUUUAGUUAGUGGAUCUGCAAUCAUAAGAUUGAUGCUAAUAUGUUUGAUUGACACAUUUUGUUUUUGAAACCGUUUCUGUAACGACAAAAGUAUUUCAAUUCCAUGUGUUUAGCAACUUUAGAGUACUUGUCGUUCUUUGACAAAAAGAUCGCUGUAGAAUUGUCACAAUAAAGUUUCAGCGGCUUGACUAUACUGUCGAAGUUCCAAGCCUCGAAAUAAAGUUUUGUAGCCAAUUUCCUUGAACCAUAGCCUCAAAGCAUGCCACACAACCCAGCUUCCAUAGUGGAUGCAACAAUGACCAACUGUUUUUGCACUUUUUCAUGAUAUAGCCCCUCCAACCAAGAGGAACAGAUAGCCAAACGUAGACUUUCUAAUAGCUACACAUCCAACAAAGUCUGAAUCUGAGUACUCAAUGACUUUCAAGUUAUCAGAUAUCCUAUAAGUGAGCAUGUGGUAUUUCGUUUUUUGUAAGUAUCUCAAUACUUUAUUUGCAACUUUUCAAUAAUCAAGUCUCGAGUUACUUUGAUACUUGAUCAGCAUUCCGACAGCAAAAAUAAUGUCUGGUCUAGUACAAGUCUGAGCAUACAUUAAGUUUCCAACAAGAGAUGAAUAAAGAAUAGUUGCCAUUUGUCUAUGUUCCAAUUCGUUCUAAGGACAUUGCAUGAGACUAAAUUUGUCUCCCUUUUGAAUUUGAAUGACGCUCGUUGAAUAAUUUUCCAUUUUAAAUAUCUCUAAAACUUUAUUGAUAUAUGCUUUCUGAAACAACCCUAACACUCUGUGUGAUUUAUAUCAGAAUAUUUCAAUUUCAAUCACAUAUGUUGCCUCUCCGAUAUUUUUCAUUUCAAAAUUUUUAUAGAGAAAUUUCUUAAUCUGUGUAAUAGACUAAGAUUAUUAGUCGCUAGCAAGAUGUCAUCAACAUACAAAAUAAAAAAUAUAAACAUAACAAUGCUAAUUUAAUUUUACUUAAUUUAUAAUUAAAUAUACUCUAACCAGACAUGUCUGUUAUCCUUGGAUAUACAAAACAUAUCUAGUUAAGUAUAUUAAUUAACCACGAUAUGUUCACGAUUAAUAAAAUUAACUGAUCAACCUCUGAGCGAUCCAUAACAAUUUUAUAAUCUAUGAACGUCAAUAUACUCUUAACAAUAAUAAUUCUAAAGUCAUAUUUAUUUAUAAACAUCAAACUAUCAAGAGUAAUUGAUAAAUAAAUAAAUUAUGCAAUUUAAUGUUCGCAAUACCAAAAAGUUUGACCAGUUUGAUGACUAACAAACAAUAUUAAUCGAAUAUCAAUUACAUAAACAAAAUAUAUAUCAUUUAAUGUUUCUAAUUAUUAUCUAGUCUAUUAAUAGAUUUACAUACAUAUAAUUAGCCAUAAAACACAUAAUAAACUAAUUAAUGGCAGUCAUCGAACGGCAUAAUACAAUUAAUUAUUCACUAAAUUAUACAUAUAUUUGGCCCCAGAUAUUUUUAACAAUGAAUUUGGCACCCAACUUACAAUAAUUACAAAAAUAAUUUAUGCACCCAAUUAUUAUGAUAAUUAAAAGGUUAAACCCCAACCUUAAGGGUCCCCCACCACACCCGCCCUAGAGCAUCGUGAAGGAGGUAAAUCGCAGGUUAUGCCUUCAAGGGUACAGAGUGGAAGGCUGCUUGUACACUUACACUUACCCAAAAGUCAAAUCCAUAUUUCAGGAAUCGAACCAUUGACAAUUAUUAUGAUAAUUGCAACCACUAAUAGAAGUCCACGCCUUUUCAUCAGGCCAAGCUUUAAUUAUUAUCUUUAUUUAUUUUGAUGCACCUACUAAUCCAAGAAAAGUGGCAUACUUUGAAGAUGCAACACGUAAUAGCAGUAUAUUAAAAUGAGGCAGAAUGAUGAGAAAGUGGACGUUAAUGAAGUCCAAAUCUAAUCAUAUAUUUACCUACGCUAUAGAGAAAUCUGUUGACCCAUAUUAUUGAUUUCAACACAUAAAAUUAAAUAAUAAUAAUUUUACAUACCAAGCCUUUGUUUGAACCUUAUUUUGAGAGAAAGAAUAUACUUUGAAUGGUAGAUUGAUAUUGAAUAUAUGAUUAAAAAUUAACGAAAAAUUUUGAAUUUGCAUUUAAUAUUAUUUUAUUCAAAAAUAUGUCGUUAAAAAUGAAUUGUGAAAAAAUGAAUUUUUAGAAGAAUGUGGCUCAAACAAGGGUUACUUUACCUUAAUUCAUAAAUUAAUUAGAAAAAUUAAGGACCGAUAAAUGAAAAACAACAGUCUUUAAAGAAAAAUCAAGAAUUCUGUAACUUGAAUCUGAUACCACAUGUAAGCAAUUAAAUCAUAAUAUCAAGAUAUUUAGAAUUAAUAACUUUCACAUAUAUAUUUAAUUGAUCAGGAAACAUACUUUGAUCCACGGUAAUAAUUGAAUAAUUUAAAUAUGCAAAAUAGAAACUAGUAAGAUAAAUAAACUAUUCUCUUCUUUUACCUCUCUGUAAUUGAACGUUCAAUUCAAUAGGUUUCAUUCCCAUUUAUAGGUAGAGAGAGACACUCUCAGAGGCCAUAAAAAUAACUACCUAUUUUCUAUAAAAGGGACAGUUAUAAAUUUGCCACUUCCCAACGGAUCAGUUAAAUUUUUAGAAAUAUAAACCACUAUGAUUAAUUCUUUUAUAAUAUUACAUGGACAACAAUUAAUUGGUUUUACAAGUAAUAUAAAAUUAUAGUGAUCGCAUAAUUCAAUAUGCCAUUGUUUUCCAUUAUUUCAAAUUAUAAUAAAAUGAAUAGUAAUUUUUUAAAGAAUGUAUAGUUAAAAAGAAUGGAGAUAUUUUUAAAUAUAUGUAUAAUAUUAUUUUAUUAAAAAUGGGUGGUUGAUAAAAAAAAAGAAAAAAUAAAAAAUUAAAUUUUAAUUUAAUGACGACAUGUACAUAUCGACACACUAAAAACUCUCUCUCUCUCUCUAUCUCUCUCCCUCUCCCCUCGUCUCCAUCACCAACUGUUUCACCGAUAAUUAUGUCCAUUUUUGAAACCUUUUCUGCGGGUUGUUUUUUUGCGUUCUUGUUUUCACUAAAAUCAUUUUAGUGAACUCAUUUAUUGCCGAAAUUGUUGACUUGCUACUGGGCAUGUAAGUAGAUAAUGAUGCUACUUCAUAAACCCUUUUUGGUAUCGUCUCUGUUAUUGUGAAUUCUAGAUAUUGUAAAGUGAAUUUUUAUAUUUCACAGCUAGUUCAUAUGAAAUUAUUCUUCUGUUGAGUGUCUUUAUCUUCAUUGUUGAUUUUGUAUUUGAUAUCAAUAGCUUCUUGGGGAUUUCUUAGUCUGUUCAUUGAAGGUUUAGAUUGGUUUUUUGUAGUUGGUUUAUUCUUCGAGCUUGAUUUUGGUUUAUGUUGAUAUUUGUAUAGGAGAUUUCUUAGUCCGAAAAGUACAAAAAAUGCACAGCAAUAUUGAAAAUGGUAUUUUCUUGAAUUUUAUGAGUUAUGGGUUUGGAUUUUUUUUUUCCUCCCAGCAUAAUUUUUAUUUUUUUUUAUUUUUUAUGAAUUUUUGUGUUUAGGAAAGCUAUUCUCAUUUGCAUAGUAGAUGUUUGAAUGUUUGAUGCUGUGAUCUUCGCUCNN